AAUGAACGCUGGCGGCAUGCCUAACACAUGCAAGUCGAACGAGACCUUCGGGUCUAGUGGCGCACGGGUGCGUAACGCGUGGGAAUCUGCCCUUGGGUUCGGAAUAACUCGCCGAAAGGCGUGCUAAUACCGGAUGAUGACGUAAGUCCAAAGAUUUAUCGCCCAAGGAUGAGCCCGCGUAGGAUUAGCUAGUUGGUGGGGGAAAGGCCCACCAAGGCGACGAUCCUUAGCUGGUCUGAGAGGAUGAUCAGCCACACUGGGACUGAGACACGGCCCAGACUACUACGGGAGGCAGCAGUGGGGAAUAUUGGACAAUGGGCGAAAGCCUGAUCCAGCAAUGCCGCGUGAGUGAUGAAGGCCUUAGGGUUGUAAAGCUCUUUUACCCGGGAUGAUAAUGACAGUACCGGGAGAAUAAGCCCCGGCUAACUCCGUGCCAGCAGCCGCAGUAA
rnacentral:rRNA from 1 species